rnacentral:rRNA from 1 species
GACGAACGCUGGCGGCGUGCUUAACACAUGCAAGUCGAACGGAAAGGCCCUGCUUGCAGGGUACUCGAGUGGCGAACGGGUGAGUAACACGUGGGUGAUCUGCCCUGCACUUCGGGAUAAGCCUGGGAAACUGGGUCUAAUACCGGAUAGGAGCCAUUUUUAGUGUGAUGGUUGGAAAGUUUUUUCGGUGUAGGAUGAGCUCGCGGCCUAUCAGCUUGUUGGUGGGGUAAUGGCCUACCAAGGCGGCGACGGGUAGCCGGCCUGAGAGGGUGGACGGCCACAUUGGGACUGAGAUACGGCCCAGACUCCGACGGGAGGAAGAAGGGGGGAAUAUUGAACAAUGGGCGCAAGCCGGAUGCAGCGAGGCCGCGUGGGGGAUGACGGCCUUCGGGUUGUAAACUCCUUUCGCUAGGGAAGACGCUGUUUGUGACGGUACCUAGAGAAGAAGCACCGGCUAACUACGUG